AUUGAACGCUGGCGGCAGGCCUAACACAUGCAAGUCGAGCGGAUGAAGGGAGCUUGCUCCUGGAUUCAGCGGCGGACGGGUGAGUAAUGCCUAGGAAUCUGCCUGGUAGUGGGGGAUAACGUCCGGAAACGGGCGCUAAUACCGCAUACGUCCUGAGGGAGAAAGUGGGGGAUCUUCGGACCUCACGCUAUCAGAUGAGCCUAGGUCGGAUUAGCUAGUUGGUGGGGUAAAGGCCUACCAAGGCGACGAUCCGUAACUGGUCUGAGAGGAUGAUCAGUCACACUGGAACUGAGACACGGUCCAGACUCCUACGGGAGGCAGCAGUGGGGAAUAUUGGACAAUGGGCGAAAGCCUGAUCCAGCCAUGCCGCGUGUGUGAAGAAGGUCUUCGGAUUGUAAAGCACUUUAAGUUGGGAGGAAGGGCAGUAAGUUAAUAGCUUGCUGUUUUGACGUUACCAACAGAAUAAGCACCGGCUAACUUCGUG
rnacentral:rRNA from 1 species